ACUUAUGAUGAAAAUAUCAAAAAUAUAUUUUAUUUAUUAACAAAUCAAUUACAAUACUUGGUUGCUCAACCGUCAACAGCUUGAUGAUUGACUUUUGAGACAUAUUUUUCAACAACUCCCCCUUGUCCUAAGGCCACUCGGCACAGUAUCUAGUACCCAUCUUCGACUUGUGAUUGUCGAAAUCCUUUAUUGCCAAGGCUUUAGUGAAGGGGUCGGCCAGGUUCUCCUUUCCGUCGAUCUUCUGAAGG
rnacentral:lncRNA from 1 species